ensembl:lincRNA
AUCUUCCUCAAAAUACUCCUCCUGGCUUCCAAUACAUUUACCCUACCAGUCUUGCCAUUUUCUGAGGCAGUUCCUAAAGUCCUCUUUGAUGUCUUUAAUUGCACUGUUUUGGCUGCUUCAAUGCCUUGGCCCCAAAUCCACCCCAAACCUUUAGUUUUUAGUCAUUUUGACUUUGGGGAACGGCUGGAAGUCCCAUGUGCCAGAUCAGGUGACUAAGUUAGACCAGGACACACGGUAAUGUUUUCAGCAGCCUGCCUUUCUGUUGGAUGACGCUUGACAGCGGCAUUCACUGGAUUUUUGGUCACUUUAUAGAAACAUAUGUGAAAGAAGACUUCCAAAACUGCUUCAGAAAUUGGCAAAAAUGAUGGGAUGAAUGUGUCCCCAGUGAGGGGAGCAUUUCAAGGUGGAAUUAAUGGCAAUAUGUUUUAUAUCGAAGUAAAAUUUUACAAUUUAAAUGCUCCUCAUAUUUUUCAAUCACCCCUCAUAAGUUUUGCAUUGGUUUAAUUCAGUUCCAUGUUCUAAACAGACAGAAUAUAUUUCCAUCACUUUCUGAUUCUUUAUAUUACAGCCAUGAUUUUUCCCUUAGUUGCUGCCGUGUGGUUUGUACUUGGCUCCAAACUGGUGAGGUGGGUACGAAACACUGAUUCUUGUUUUCAGGGUUCUUCCUUUCUGUACUAUUUUCUCUGAUCUGACUCAGAGUGAGGUUUUCCCCUAAUGUUUUCCUAGUAUCUCCUCAUUUCUGUUAAGAGCAGGCAGGGAGGAAGACAGACUCUCUGUGCUGGUGGGCACAACUUACCUUAUAUUAGCAGACACCAGUACAGGCAUUGCGAGAGAUUCUGGGAUUGUAUGAUUCUUCUAGGCAAUUUAGAUAGAGCCCAUUUAUCUUCUGAAAACAGGUCUCAAAUCCCGAGUACUUAUCCCUUCAAAGUUUUAAUCUCCCUAAUGCUGUAUUGUUCUCCUCAGAGGGAGACUUACAAGCUAAAGGCAAAGUCAAAGCAAAAGAAAAGAGUGAAGAGUGACAGAAGAGGGAAGCAAUUACCUAAUGCAUCUGGUGCCGGACAGGAAGUCAUCACAUGGGUCACUGGAUAAAAUCGUGUCUGGACUUUUCCGGAAAUAAAUUAACUGGAAGCCGAAACAACAGACACUGUACCUGCUGAUGUGUGCUCUGGGCAGGAGGACCCAGCGUGGAGGGGAGGCGAUGGCAAUCUCUGCAUUUGGAAUCUCUUCCUGUUGUUGGAUAAAAAUCAUUACAUGCUGGCUUUACCUUCAGCUAAGAACUUCAUACAAAUAUGUUUUUAAUUCCUUUGACACUUAUUGUUGACUGGAUCAUGAAACAGUAAAGCUUUUUUUUUGGUACCAGGAACCGAACUCAGGACCUUGUGCUUGCCAGGCAAGUGCUGGUACCACUGAGCUAUAUCCCUGGCCCUGAAACAGUAAAGCUUUUGACACUACCAGACUGAAGUGUUCCUCUAGUUUUGUACAAUAAUUACAACAUUUAUCUGGAGAACUCUUAUAGAUUCUCUAUGUAAUUCACAGGUUCAUUCAGUUUUAUACAUCUUGUGUAUCCCUGUACUGUUCGUGCUGGGUCCUUCACCCACUCCAAAAGGAAAGGUGAAAUUUUUAAGGUCUUCUGGACGCAGCUAUGCAGUCACCAGAGCUCCCUAUUGGUGUUUCAUGUCCUCUAGGGGACUGAGAGAUGCAGGCAGAGGGGAGACGAAGUUAAAAGAAUUAAGAUGGGACUUCAAACAAUGUGCAACAUAACACCCACUGUUGAAUUCCUAUCAUCUUGUUUGGUGAAAUUCUGUAUCAGUUACAAUUUUUUUGUCUUUAUUUUUUAUUCUUUUUAAUACCUUGAUUAAUCUUGCAUUCUUACAUCUAGUAAUGUGACCAACUUUGAUGAAGACAAAAAUAUGUAAUAUAACAACCACUGUUAAUCCUUAUCAUUUUGUUCUGAAACCCUGUAUCAUUCUUAUUGUUUUUGCUUUGUUUUGUUUUUGUCUAUGUUGUUGGCAUUUUGCUAUUGUUCUUUUUAAAAAAUUCUCUUUAAAAUUAAAAAAAAUAAAAAUAAAAACCAAAAUAAAAAAAAAUAAUUAAGAUGGGACCGGGAAUACAGCCCAGUGGCACAGUGCCUACUUGGGAAGCGUGAGGUCCUGAGUUUGAUUCCUGGUAUCUCAAAAAAUAAAUAAGUAAAUAAAUAAAUAAAAGAAAUAAGAUGAGUGUGUACAUCUACCAGCUCCUCAUGAUGAAUGUAAUCAUUAUGGCCUGCAAACAUGUACUAAUAAAAAAUUUUUAAACAUUAAAAAUAAAAGCUGCUUCAUUUUCUCAUGUCACCUGCCUGGGUGCCAAAGGCAUCAGAGUUUAAGACUUCUGUUCUAUUCGAAUAGACUAGUAAAGUUAGAAGGAAUGUGUGCAUCUGCUUUUAAUUUUCAUGAGUUUUCAUUUUGUUUUGGCACGUAGAAUUUUAAAAACGUGUCUCUGGGUUACAUAGCAAGAUUGGUUUCUACAAAAAAUAGUAAAAAGAAAAAUGAGUUUUAAUCUUUGUAUCUUUGUGGCAUUGGAUUUAAUUUUGCUUCUUCUCAUACUCAUUCUUUACCCUCAUUGUCC